UUUUUUUUUUCUCUUUGAGACAGUCUUGCUCUGUCGUCCAGGCUGGAGGGUGCAAACAUGGAAUAUUCAGGAAGCUAGAGAAUAAAAAUUACCUUACUACCCUAAUAUAACUACUAUAACUCAAUUUGGUGAAUCUUAAAACCAGUUUUAAGAGUGACACUUCAUAGUAUAUCCAAUUUGUAUAAGCAAGUUUCAGAUUAGGCACUUGAGAUUAACAAACUGGUUUAGGAAUUUAGGGACAAAAAAUGUUUUUGAAACUGAACUUAAAAGUCAGAUGUUUGAAAAUCUGAUUGCCUCCUGCCUUCUGCUCUGGACCCCGGAGGGCAGACAGAGGAAGAGCAGGCAGGUUCCACUUUUCCUUCCCAGGUACCUCCCCAUAUUCAUUUUUUUUUUCAGACUGAAAUUGUAUCUUUAAAUGAAAUACCAUUUUUUGUUGAAUUUCCAUAGGAUCACAAAUUUGGAAGGGACCUUGGAGGUGGUCCAAUCCAAACAGCCCCUCCAUGCAUAACUCUACUCUG
rnacentral:lncRNA from 1 species